AUACGGAGGGCGCAAGCGUUGUUCGGAAUCAUUGGGCGUAAAGCGCGCGUAGGCGGCUUGGAAAGUCGGGUGUGAAAUCCCGGGGCUCAACCCCGGAACUGUACUCGAAACUUCCUGGCUAGAGUCUCGGAGAGGUAGGCGGAAUUCCCGGUGUAGAGGUGAAAUUCGUAGAUAUCGGGAGGAACACCAGUGGCGAAGGCGGCCUACUGGACGAUGACUGACGCUGAGGUGCGAAAGCGUGGGGAGCAAACAGGAUUAGAUACCCGAGUAGUCC
rnacentral:rRNA from 1 species